GUCCGCACAGUAAACGAUGGACACUCGCUGUUGGCGAUAUACUGUCAGCGGCCGAGCGAAAGCGUUAAGUGUCCCACCUGGGGAGUACGCCGGCAACGGUGAAACUCAAAGGAAUUGAUGGGGGCCCGCACAAGCGGAGGAACAUGUGGUUUAAUUCGAUGAUACGCGAGGAACCUUACCCGGGCUUGAACUGCAGCGGAAUGGUGUGGAAACAUGCCAGCGAGCAAUCGUCGCUGUGGAGGUGCUGCAUGGUUGUCGU
rnacentral:rRNA from 1 species